rnacentral:tRNA from 1 species
UUCCUCAGUAGCUCAGUGGUAUAGCGGUCGGCUGUUAACUGAUUGGUUGUAGGUUCAAAUCCUACUUGGGGAGA